UACGUAGGGUGCAAGCGUUGUCCGGAAUUAUUGGGCGUAAAGAGCUCGUAGGCGGCUUGUCGCGUCGGCUGUGAAAACCUGGGGCUCAACCCUGGGCCUGCAGCCGAUACGGGCAAGCUAGAAUUCGGUAGGGGAGACUGGAAUUCCUGGUGUAGCGGUGAAAUGCGCAGAUAUCAGGAGGAACACCGGUGGCGAAGGCGGGUCUCUGGGCCGAUAUUGACGCUGAGGAGCGAAAGCGUGGGGAGCAAACAGG
rnacentral:rRNA from 1 species